rnacentral:rRNA from 1 species
UACGGAGGAUUCAAGCGUUAUCCGGAUUUAUUGGGCGUAAAGGGAACGCAGGCGGUCUUUUAAGUCUGAUGUGAAAGCCUUCGGCUUAACCGGAGUAGUGCAUUGGAAACUGGGAGACUUGAGUGCAGAAGAGGAGAGUGGAACUCCAUGUGUAGCGGUGAAAUGCGUAGAUAUCACGCAGAACUCCGAUUGCGAAGGCAGCAUACCGGCGCUCAACUGACGCUCAUGCACGAAAGCGUGGGUAUCGAACAGG